AACGAGCUGCGGGUCUUUGGGCCACCUCCCAUCCGUGUCUAUUGUACCCUGUUGCUUCGGCGGGCCCGCCGCUUGUCGGCCGCCGGGGGGGCGCCUCUGCCCCCCGGGCCCGUGCCCGCCGGAGACCCCAACACGAACACUGUCUGAAAGCGUGCAGUCUGAGUUGAUUGAAUGCAAUCAGUUAAAACUUUCAACAAUGGAUCUCUUGGUUCCGGCAUCGAUGAAGAACGCAGCGAAAUGCGAUAACUAAUGUGAAUUGCAGAAUUCAGUGAAUCAUCGAGUCUUUGAACGCACAUUGCGCCCCCUGGUAUUCCGGGGGGCAUGCCUGUCCGAGCGUCAUUGCUGCCCUCAAGCCCGGCUUGUGUGUGGGUCGCCGUCCCCCUCUCCGGGGGGACGGGCCCGAAAGGCAGCGGCGGCACCGCGUCCGAUCCUCGAGCGUAUGGGGCUUUGUCACAUGCUCUGUAGGAUUGGCCGGCGCCUGCCGACGUUUUCCAACCAUUCUUUCCAGGUUGACCUCGGAUCAGGUAGGGAUACCCGCUGAACUUAAGCAUAUCAA
rnacentral:rRNA from 1 species